CCAUAGAAACAUAGUUUGCCUAGUGAUCUGUACUGUUUAACUCUCCGGUAGGGGCAAAUCAUGUCUGAUACCACUCAUUGGGUGAUAUUUAAGAACAAUAUGGAUCUUCCCAUAGCAAUGAUUUUCUUUUGGAGUUGCAAGUCCUGGCUGUCAAUAAAGGGGCUUUUGAGAUUAAUCCUGUAUGCAGUUCCUUAAGGAGAUAGCAGACAUUUUUUUUUUCAUUCCUGAGAUCAUUAGAGCAGCACAUGGACUACUUAAUGUAAUUCCAGUCAAUAACACCCAUUAGUAAACCACUCUUCCCACCUUCAGUUGGCUUUGUGUUUGAUUCUAGUAUUUACACUGGGUUUAUAACCCUAGAGUUUAAAUAUCCCACUCCUAAAAAUGCAUAUGCCAUCCAUAAAGUUGUUCCAAUGGAUAUGGAAUACAGCAGCUUGCAUCCUGAGUAAUACUUACAAGAAAGAACUUUCUAGUUUCUUGAUUUCCUGUUCGCUAUCCGUUUUCCUGCUAGGUCUCAAAUCCAGUUCAGGGCUGUAGAGUUCACAGUACUCCGAGUUCUUGAAUGAAUAGUUGCAUUCUGGUUUAGUAACUCAAUUUUUUUUUGCAGUUAGUUCCAAGAAAUGUGGAGCUGCCCACUUCAAGGAUAAGACUGGAUGGCUAGAUGGAAUGUUUGUUCAAGGAAAUGGAUUUUAUUUCUGUAUCGUAUUACUGGAAGCAUAGUCAGCUGAAGACUGAGAUUUGCUGUUGUGCAGCCUGAAACUAAGGAUUCAUGCAGAAAAUCAAGGUAAGGGUCUGUGGUUUUGAUGCACUGUACACUUGUGGUGCAAGUUCAAUAUUACAGCAUCCUAUAUGUGGAGAGAGUGUUGACAGCUCCCAGCCACGAGAUUAAUACUGAAGAACAAAUGACAAAGAAUCAGCAGAAGAGUGAUUGCUUCAUAUUUCUCUUGAAGUGCAGCAGAACUUAAGAAAAUGCUUUGCCUGUGUCUGAGCUAAUAUGGAUUAAGUUGUAAGUUCGUGGACAAGAAGAAAUCAGAGUACUGUGCAAAACAUCUAACAAGGUGAUCAGAUACUUGCGUUCUGCAUUUGCUGCUGAAACAGGAGCUCUUCAGUUGUUCCCAGCCCUGGCAUUGUGUAAUUCCAGAACAACCCGUUGCGGCAUUGUGGAAAGCACACUGAAUAUUCUUUCCCUCACCAGUGAGGAAUGGCGUUUGUAAAAAAAAAGAUGGAAGCUACUGCCCCUUCAGUGGGUGAAUACUGAAACUCAACUACAAGGCAGUAAAUGACUCAGCACCUUCUUCCAAAAUGAGGUAGAUCAGGUUCACUUCAACCACUGUGGGAACAAUAAACUGAACUGACUGACAGUGAUGUCUCAAGUCCCUCUACCAUGACAAGUAUUUGUCACAUCAUAUGCAGUAUAAGUAGCUUUAUAUUUUACAGGACAGGAACUCUCGAUUGAAUUCAGCUGAGAUGCACAAAUACAACAGACUUAAUUUGGAGAACAUCAUUAUUUUAGUUUCUGCAUUUGGCACAUUUUCAAGAAAGUAUGCAGUGUGUGAAGUAUAUAAAAUAGCAUAUGGUGGGGUAAAGUGAAAAAACAAUGUAUUUUUUUGGAACCGCCUGCCCAACAUAUUCAAGACUUUAAAGUUUUAUUACGUGGGCCAUCCCAUGCUCCUUCCAACUGAAUAUACAUAUGCUCCUGUAAGAGAAGUAAUCCAUUACUUUUGAAUGUCACCAAAUUUUGGAGCAAGAUCUAAGCAGUAGUUGAUAAUUCUCUGCAUAUAAGAGCCAAAAUUUCUCAUUAAGUUGU